rnacentral:rRNA from 1 species
AGGAUUAACGCUAGCGGCAGGCCUAAUACAUGCAAGUCGAACGGCAGCGGGUCCAGCAAUGGAUGCCGGCGAGUGGCGCACGGGUGCGUAACACGUAUGCAAUCUACCCUUAACUGGGGGAUAGCCCCGAGAAAUCGGGAUUAAUACCCCAUAAUAUUAUGAAGUGGCAUCAUUUUAUAAUUAAAGUUCCGACGGUUUUGGAUGAGCAUGCGCGACAUUAGCUAGUUGGCGAGGUAACGGCUCACCAAGGCUGCGAUGUCUAGGGGUUCUGAGAGGAUUCACCCCCACACUGGUACUGAGACACGGACCAGACUCCUACGGGAGGCAGCAGUAAGGAAUAUUGGUCAAUGGACGCAAGUCUGAACCAGCCAUGCCGCGUGAAGGAAGACGGCCCUACGGGUUGUAAACUUCUUUUGUACGGGAAAAAACCACCGGUCGUGAACCGGUGCUGAUGGUACCGUAAGAAUAAGCAUCGGCUAACUCCGUG